UGACAUCUCGGACUGUAAACAUCCUGCGGCGCCAGAGAACAGUGUCUUUGGCUCCAGCGCCCGUGUGAUAAAAAAGAAAAAAGAAAAAGAAAAACACACCACGUUCCAUAUCCAUAUGAAAUUAUAAGGACCUUGUAUUUGUAUCUGCAUUUUUCAUCCAUAAUUGACCCAAGAGGCUGAAUUGAUGCCUCUAUAUUCUGCCUCAAUGAUGCUUUAAAACCCCUGUAUGAACUAUCUUGGCCAGCGGUCUAGGUUCAUUUUUUCUGAUAGACGUUGCUAUCUAAGGUAUGUCAGAUGUCCAAUUGAAUUGUGUUGUAUAUGGAUCGCAAUUGCCUUUUUUUUCUAAUGCUUUUUUUAUGUUUACAUAAAUUUUGCUGACUGUUAAUGAUCACUCCUUGUUUUGUUUCAUCAUGUCUUGCCCAUCCUUGCUUU